UCGAUGCAGGAGCUGUCCAUUUAUCCACAGAAGCAGUGUAGUACAGUCAGUGGCAGUACAAGCUCUUAGAGUGCCCUGUGACUGUGCUUCCUGUCUUUUGUGGAGAGACCUCCAUGAAGGAGAUGAGAAGGUAGUGCAGUUUCCAUGACCAUUGUGACAAAGUUCCU
rnacentral:sRNA from 1 species